rnacentral:SRP_RNA from 1 species
AAUAAGCUGCUACAAUGCAAUCCUUUGAACCAGGUCAGGGUCGGAAGACAGCAGCCUUAAUAGGCUCUUGCAUGUGUGGCAGCCUUUUUAUA